rnacentral:lncRNA from 1 species
AAAUAUCAUUGAUGCAAAGUAUUGAAGAUGAUUCAUGAUCAUUUAUCAACAGUUUUGGAUCAAAGAAGGUUGAUUCAACCUCAAGUUCAUCUAUCAAUGAUUUGAGAUGUGGAAGACCUCAUCAACCAAGUAAUCAACUUAAUUCAAAACAUUAAGUCGAUAAAUAAAAAUGUAUAAAAAUGAUUAAAAAAUGAUUUAAUAAUGACUAAUAAAAGAAAAUAAAAGAGAAAAUGUCAAAGACGUAUCAAAACAUUGGAAAAAAGUCCAAGAAAAAUGGAGGAGGUAAACAAAAUUAUAAGUAACUAGACCUCAAAAAGUUAGGGUGAAAAAUGUUUUUAAAUGAUUAAAAUGAAAAUGGUAAAUGAAAAUUAAAUGGAAAAUACAAGAAAAUAUGAAUUAAAUGCAAAAUGAAUUUUAAAAAAUUUGCAAAACUUAUUUGUGGUAGAUAAUACUUUUAUAAAAUUAUGAUAAAAAUUUGGACUAAAAAAUAAUAAAGGAGAUAAUUAAAAAUAUUUUUGAAAGAAAAAGAAAUAAAAAGAAAUAAAAAUUGAAAAUAAAAUGUUUGAAUUUAACGGCUAGGAGAGGUGGCGCGCUGUGAUUUGCCAAGGGAUUCAAAUUUCCUUCUGAAGCGUGUGAAACACUUUUUCUUCAACCUCUGUGCAUUUGAUUUUGCAAGUUCAUGAACUCGAAGUU